GCCAUGAUUUUCGGCAUACUCAGGAGGAGCGCAGGGUCCGUCGUUAGCGGCAACUCUAUCUGCAAUCUUCUUAUACCAUGCUGAUUUAUCGUUUUCUUGCAAUAAGGCAACUAUACAAACAGUCAUGUUGUCACAACCAAGGCCGGUAGUUUCGGUGUCACUGGCUAUGCAGUUAUCCAUUAAAUUUUCAGCAAUCUUCUCAAGAGAGGUUCCAGCAACUAUGCCACGUCUAACAAACUCGAUCACUUGCUGCGAAGUCUUGCAAUCCCAAAUACCAUCACAAGCGAGUACGACGAAUUCAUCAUCGUCAGUAAUCUCAUGUACAACAACAUCCGGUAAGGCAGUAACUAUUUGUUUUUCUGGUUCUAAAUUACUGUUUUUGAACUCAAAAUCACCGAUAGCUCUUGACAAAGCCAAAUUUCCAUUUACACGGCCAAAGUCUACAAAGCCACCAGCCGCACAAAUACGGGCUUUUUCGGCUUCAUUUGAAGGCUUAUGGUCUGCUGAUAGAGGUUUUGCAAUUCCCUUACUGCCAAGGACAGUUCUUGAGUCACCGGCAUUAGCCUACACAAUUAGUAAGACUAAACAACUUCCAAGACUUACACAAUAAAGUUUAUUUCCAACACGAAGAACAACAGUGGCCGUGCAACCUGAUGGAUCCGUAUGAAAUUGAUCAUCUGUCAAAAU